ACAUGCAAGUCGAACGCAGUAGCAAUACUGAGUGGCGAACGGGUGAGUAUAAUGUGGGUAUCUGCCUUUUGGUUUGGAAUAACACGAGGAAACUUGUGCUAAUACCGGAUAAGCCCUUACGGGGAAAGUUUUAACGCCGAAAGAUGAGCCCGCACUUGAUUAGCUAGUUGGUAGGGUAAAGGCCUACCAAGGCUACGAUCAAUAGCUGAUCUGAGAGGAUGAUCAGCCACAUUGGGACUGAGACACGGCCCAAACUCCUACGGGAGGCAGCAGUGGGGAGUCUUGCACAAUGGGGGAAACCCUGAUGCAGCGAUGCCGCGUGAGUGAAGAAGGCCCUUGGGUUGUAAAGCUCUUUCGUCGGGGAAGAAAAUGACUGUACCCGAAUAAGAAGGUCCGGCUAACUUCGUGCCAGCAGCCGCGGUAAUACGAAGGGACCUAGCGUAGUUCGGAAUUACUGGGCUUAAAGAGCACGUAGGUGGUUAGAAAAGUUGGUGGUGAAAUCCCAAGGCUUAACCUUGGAACUGCCACCAAAACUUUUUAACUAGAGUAUGAUAGAGGUAAGCGGAAUUUCUAGUGUAGAGGUGAAAUUCGUAGAUAUUAGAAAGAACACCAAUUGCGAAGGCAGCUUUCUGGAUCAUUACUGACACUGAGGUGCGAAAGCAUGGGUAGCGAAGAGGAUUAGAUACCCUCGUAGUCCAUGCUGUAAACGAUGUGUGCUAGACGUUGGGAAUUUAUUUUUCAGUGUCGCAGCAAAAGCGUUAAGCACACCGCCUGGGGAGUACGACC
rnacentral:rRNA from 1 species